rnacentral:rRNA from 1 species
UGAUCCGCAUGUCUAGUAUAAGCAUUAUACAGCGAAACUGCGAAUGGCUCAUUAUAUAAGUUAUCGUUUAUUUGAUAGUACCUUACUACUUGGAUAACCGUGGUAAUUCUAGAGCUAAUACAUGCUAAAAAUCCCGACUUCGGAAGGGAUGUAUUUAUUAGAUUAAAAACCAAUGCCCUCUGGGCUCUCUGGUGAUUCAUGAUAACUUCUCGAAUCGCAUGGCCUUGCGCCGGCGAUGGUUCAUUCAAAUUUCUUCCCUAUCAACUUUCGAUGUUUGGGUAUUGGCCAAACAUGGUCGCAACGGGUAACGGAGGGUUAGGGCUCGACCCCGGAGAAGGAGCCUGAGAAACGGCUACUACAUCCAAGGAAGGCAGCAGGCGCGCAAAUUACCCAAUCCCGACACGGGGAGGUAGUGACAAUAAAUACUGAUACAGGGCUCUUUCGGGUCUUGUAAUUGGAAUGAGUACAAUUUAAAUCCCUUAACGAGGAACAAUUGGAGGGCAAGUCUGGUGCCAGCAGCCGCGGUAAUUCCAGCUCCAAUAGCGUAUAUUAAAGUUGUUGUGGUUAAAAAGCUCGUAGUUGAACCUUGGGCCUGGCUGGCCGGUCCGCCUCACCGCGUGUACUGGUCCGGCCGGGCCUUUCCCUCUGUGGAACCUCAUGCCCUUCACUGGGCGUGACGGGGAAACAGGACUUUUACUGUGAAAAAAUUAGAGUGCUCCAGGCAGGCCUAUGCUCGAAUACAUUAGCAUGGAAUAAUGAAAUAGGACGUGCGGUUCUAUUUUGUUGGUUUCUAGGACCGCCGUAAUGAUUAAUAGGGACAGUCGGGGGCAUCAGUAUUCAAUUGUCAGAGGUGAAAUUCUUGGAUUUAUUGAAGACUAACUACUGCGAAAGCAUUUGCCAAGGAUGUUUUCAUUAAUCAGGAACGAAAGUUAGGGGAUCGAAGACGAUCAGAUACCGUCGUAGUCUUAACCAUAAACUAUGCCGACUAGGAUCGGACGAUGUAAAUAAUUGACUCGUUCGGCACCUUACGAGAAAUCAAAGUGUUUGGGCUCCAGGGGGAGUAUGGUCGCAAAGCCUGA